GGAAGGGUGGCAGAGCGGUUUAAUGCACUGGUCUUGAAAACCAGCGACGAGUGAUCCUCGUCCGUGGGUUCGAAUCCCACCUCUUCCGCCA
rnacentral:tRNA from 1 species